GGAGGUGAGGGUGAUCUGGCUGCCACAUCUGUCACCUCCUUGAUCACCAGGGUCGAUUCAGCUGAUCUGGCCGGCUAGACGGGUGUCCCCUUCCUCCCUCACCACUCUAUGUGUGCCCCUCCCAAAGUUGGGCACUUGGUCAAAGAGGACAACCUUCCCCAAGAGAGGAGGACUGUUCUUCAGUCAAGGGUAUAUGAGUAGCUGCGCUCCCCUGUUAGAACCUGCAAACAAGCUCUCAAGAAAAAAGUGAUAAAAUAUCAGUGAGGAUUAGAGAUGUAUUGAAUAUUGAGGGAAGUAGAAGGCUGUUCU
rnacentral:snRNA from 1 species